rnacentral:misc_RNA from 1 species
CAAAAAUUGAAAGCCUAUAUAAAUUUAAAAUCAUUAUAAAUCUCCAUUAUCAGAUCUUGAAAGUUAUAGUAAAAAAGAGUAUGUGGAGAUAAUGAACAAGAGUAUCCAUAAAUAUUUACGAUAUAUGUUCUUAAAAUUUAAAUUAUUUUUAAUAUUUUUUUCUAAAUUUAGAUACCAUAAUUUUAUUAUUUAUUCCAUUAAUAAUUAAAAAUACACAUGGUAAAUGUUUAGUAACAAAUAAACACAUUAAAUAUUUCUCCCACCCAAUGCCACAUUAAACAGCCAAAGACACCCGAUAAUUUUUCAAUAUAUCAACAAAGAACAAGUAUGUGAAUUUUCUGUAAGGUUUGACUAAAACAAAACAAUCCACAGUAACUAUAACUAAUUAGAUUACCCAAAGUACCUAUAACAUAAGCCACAUCAAAUAUUUUCUUAACAUCACUUGGCCAAAUAAUGUUAUAUUUUACCAAGCACCCUCAUGUAUGUUCCAACAUAAAAAGGUCUUACCAAGGCACCUAACGUCCCUUUCAUAAAGUAGAGAAUAGAGAACUUGUAUUACAAGCCAAUGCAAUCAAACCUUUAUGAUUUCAUAUCAAUCAAUCUUUCAAGAAUGUAAAGCCUAUUUCCUUGUCCAAGAACUAGGCUAACUUUACAGCAAGGGA